rnacentral:lncRNA from 1 species
CUCAUACUAAAAGAUGUAGCAGAGAACAAAAGACAUCAUGGACUAAGUCUCUCCAUGAAAGGGAGAGCAACACUUGUGUUGCAGCAACCUUGUAAUAUGAAAGAUCAUCCUGAGAUGAGAAUAGCUGGAUUAUGCCUGGGAUUUUGCAGCAGAAUUUCCUUUCCGGAUGUGCUGCUUUGCUGAGGCAAACAGACUUUAGGAGGAGUGCUGGGCAAGGUGGGAAGAUCUCCAUCUCAACUCUGAGGGCGAGGGGGCAAAGAGAAUGAAAUGAAGAAACAGAAAAAUAAUCUCCUCUAACUCAGAAGUCACCUGAAUUACCAGAGCUGCACUUCUGCUUUCACACUG